rnacentral:rRNA from 1 species
UCCUACGGGGCGCAGCAGUGGGGAAUAUUGGACAAUGGGGGAAACCCUGAUCCAGCGACGCCGCGUGAGUGAAGAAGUAUUUCGGUAUGUAAAGCUCUAUCAGCAGGGAAGAAAAUGACGGUACCUGACUAAGAAGCCCCGGCUAACUCCGUGCCAGCAGCCGCGGUAAUACGGAGGAUGCGAGCGUUAUCCGGAUUUAUUGGGUUUAAAGGGUGCGUAGGCGGAAUGCCAAGUCAGCGGUAAAAUCGCGGGGCUCAACCUCGCUCCGCCGUGGAAACUGGCGUCCUUGAGUGGGCGAGAAGUAU